rnacentral:rRNA from 1 species
UAAACGACUCUCGGCAACGGAUAUCUCGGCUCACGCAUCGAUGAAGAACGUAGCAAAAUGCGAUACUUGGUGUGAAAUGCAGAAUCCCGUGAACCAUCGAGUUUUUGAACGCAAGUUGCGCCCGAAGCCAUUCGGCCGAGGGCACGUCUGCCUGGGCGUCACGC